AUUAUGAAUACAUUUCCCUGAUGAUUGUUUCAUUUAAAAUGAUUAGAAAUUGAAAUGACAAUCAUAAUCAGCUGAUACAUGUAGUACAUCAUGCUGGCAUUUGUGUUUUGGGGCCUGUUCUUGUAUGGAGUUUGUUGAUGUUACCUUCUGGCCAAAUUUCAUCAGUGGGAACUGGGGUUCUGUGAUCUUGGCCGAUGCAAGUUCAUAACCAAUCCAGGGAAGUAGUAUGCGAGAUAACCAUUAAUCUCUUCAUUUCUUGGUUGAGCCCAUUUGUUUCUUGUUGGACUUUUGAAUCUUUUAGACUAAAAGUAGUUUGUCACAUAAACAACUGUAGGUUCCAGGUAACCUGUGGAAAUGCUGAUAUUUAUUCUAUGGGAAAAACAAUUUUACUGGGAACACCUGACCAUUUUCCAAGUAUGUUAGUCUCAGAAAGAUUACAGCUCAAUUACAAUUUAUGUUGCCAUUUUGUGAUAGGGAACAUACACCCUUCGGUGUGCAGUUCAUACUGUUAAUCUGUAUGUUCAUAGUAGUCCAUUUCACCAGGAACUUGGUGGGUAAAUUAGACUGUCUUGUUAGCAAUACAGAGGUGAUUGCUAGUUGUGAUGUCGUGACCAUGGUCUUUGUAUAUGUUAUUUUGUUGAUUUCAGCUGUAGAAGAAUACUGUGGUGUCAGCAUUUUCAACAAGAUCUGGUCCUUGUUUACAUGCUUUGGAAUGUUUUUGCCAUCUAUUAUUCUUAUUUUGCCUUUUCUUCUUAAUCUUUAGCUUCUUUGUUGUUCUGCAGGCUUCCAAGUGUGCCACUCUUUGGGAGG
rnacentral:lncRNA from 1 species